AAAUUGAAGAGUUUGAUCAUGGCUCAGAUUGAACGCUGGCGGCAGGCCUAACACAUGCAAGUCGAACGGUAACAGGAAGCAGCUUGCUGCUUUGCUGACGAGUGGCGGACGGGUGAGUAAUGUCUGGGAAACUGCCUGAUGGAGGGGGAUAACUACUGGAAACGGUGGCUAAUACCGCAUAAUGUCGCAAGACCAAA
rnacentral:rRNA from 2 species